GUCUUCCAGCUGGCCUGUGUUUCAAGCAUCAACAGACAGGGGCAGCUAUCGUAUCAGCUCGGGAUAUUAUAUCAGAGAAGCAUAAACGAAGCUAAAACAGACAUGCAGCUCGCAAAUCGAUGAGAGGCCCGUGGGAAGACAGCUGUCCAGUGAGAACUACAGAAAUGGAAAGAUGCGAUUGUGCUUCCAUCUGAGGCAGCUGAAGUCAGCAGAACUCCAAUUUGGAGGUCUCCAGUAGGCCAUGGCCAGCCUGUCAUUGAUGGGACAGAUUUCAGGCUGUGGAUCCCAGACUCACAUCCAAGACCGUCACACCCAGGACGUUAAUCAUAUGCCCAUCCAAUGGCACCCAAAUAACCUUGCUUUAAGAACUCCACCCUUCAUGACUGAUGGAGCACAACUCAGCCUCCAGUCCCAUUGCUCAUCACAGUCCAGGACCUGAAGCUGAGCACUGAGAGAGCACUCAUCCUAGCAUGGCGUUUCCCUGCCUGCCUCCUACACAGAUCUACACCCUACAUCAUGAGACAAAAAGCAGACAGCCACAGUACAGGCUGAGGAGAAUCAAAGAAAAGAGGGAAGGAGGAAGCCCCAGGUCCAAGUAUUUGCAAAAUAUUCUACGUGGCUGUGGUGAAGAUUGUGCCUGGAGAGACCUUUGUGCUUAACUGCUAGUUCCUGUUUCAAGGGACAGAAGAACAAGAGGCUGGUGUGGUGUAGAAUCUCUCAGCAUGUUAAUACCAUGUGAUGCCUAUGCAGGAAGGGGGCAGGAUGUGGGACUCCAUGCUUGCCUCUGGGCCCCCAGAUCAUCCUGCCAGGGGAGUGUUGAUGACUCAAGGAAUGACCAACCUUCUCUUAAGAUGACAGGAUUGACAAAAUGAGGUAGCCUGAGAACCCUAAGCACAAAGCUCUCCACAACUCCAGAGCAGAGUCUGCCUGAGGUACAGGGUCCUACCCUUGUGCACACAGCCCAGGGACAGCCACGGAGGUGCUGAAUGGCAUUGCUGGUCCCCAUCGAGGGUGAAGCCUCUGAAUGAAUGAGCUCUCCUUCCACUUGAUCCGGGUCUAUCCUACCAACAAUUAAGCUCCAGCACAACCGAGACCCCUUGGCAAAACAACAACGACAACCAAAUAAAAAAGCCCACAGCUGGAUGGAGCCUUCAUGUGCACCUGACUCACCAUGAGUCACGUCCCCAGAGGGGCCUGCUCAGUUUGCCAUUGUUACCGAUUAAAAGGAGUCACAUGCAUCCUGCAUGCACACACUUCAGGUGGAAGCCAA